CGGUGGCGGCUCGCUAUACGUGGAAGUCGUACGAACUCUGUGGUAUUGGUUGGUGCUUGCAUCAUGAGUUACAUUGUGAGUGAGUGGCGAACUGGUGAGUAACACGUGGGAAACCUGCCCAGAAGCGGGGGAUAACACCUGGAAACAGAUGCUAAUACCGCAUAACAACUUGGACCGCAUGGUCCGAGUUUGAAAGAUGGCUUCGGCUAUCACUUUUGGAUGGUCCCGCGGCGUAUUAGCUAGAUGGUGGGGUAACGGCUCACCAUGGCAAUGAUACGUAGCCGACCUGAGAGGGUAAUCGGCCACAUUGGGACUGAGACACGGCCCAAACUCCUACGGGAGGCAGCAGUAGGGAAUCUUCCACAAUGGACGAAAGUCUGAUGGAGCAACGCCGCGUGAGUGAAGAAGGGUUUCGGCUCGUAAAACUCUGUUGUUAAAGAAGAACAUAUCUGAGAGUAACUGUUCAGGUAUUGACGGUAUUUAACCAGAAAGCCACGGCUAACUACGUGCCAGCAGCCGCGUGUAAKRSGUWGUGKGSCAWGGGCUCKUGUGUCCAGCGAUUUUUAUCUSGGCGUAAAAGCGAAGCGCAGGGCGGUUUUUUUUAAGUUCUUGAUGUGAAAAGCCUUCCGGCUCCAACCGAAGAAAGUGCAUCGGAAACUGGGAAAACUUGAGUGCAGAAGAGGACAGUGGAACUCCAUGUGUAGCGGUGAAAUGCGUAGAUAUAUGGAAGAACACCAGUGGCGAAGGCGGCUGUCUGGUCUGUAACUGACGCUGAGGCUCGAAAGUAUGGGUAGCAAACAGGAUUAGAUACCCUGGUAGUCCAUACCGUAAACGAUGAAUGCUAAGUGUUGGGAGGGUUUCCGCCCUUCAGUGCUGCAGCUAACGCAUUAAGCAUUCCGCCUGGGGAGUACGGCCGCAAGGCUGAAACUCAAAGGAAUKGACGGGGGCCCGCACACAGCGGUGGAGCAUGGUGGUUUAAUUCGAAGCUACGCGAAGAACCUUACCAGGUCUUGACAUACUAUGCAAAUCUAAGAGAUUAGACGUUCCCUUCGGGGACAUGGAUACAGGUGGUGCAUGGUUGUCGUCAGCUCGUGUCGUGAGAUGUUGGGUUAAGUCCCGCAACGAGCGCAACCCUUAUUAUCAGUUGCCAGCAUUAAGUUGGGCACUCUGGUGAGACUGCCGGUGACAAACCGGAGGAAGGUGGGGAUGACGUCAAAUCAUCAUGCCCCUUAUGACCUGGGCUACACACGUGCUACAAUGGAUGGUACAACGAGUUGCGAACUCGCGAGAGUAAGCUAAUCUCUUAAAGCCAUUCUCAGUUCGGAUUGUAGGCUGCAACUCGCCUACAUGAAGUCGGAAUCGCUAGUAAUCGCGGAUUUCCCAUGCCGCGGUGAAUACGUUCCCGGGCCUUGUACACACCGCCCGCCCCCCCCUGAGAGUUUGUAACACCCAAAGUCGGUGGGGUAACCUUUUAGGAACCAGCCCGCCUAAGGGGGAACCCAGAGGCUA
rnacentral:rRNA from 1 species